rnacentral:rRNA from 1 species
UCGAGAAUCUUCCGCAAUGGGCGCAAGCCUGACGGAGCGAUGCCGCGUGAGGGAUGAAGGCCUUCGGGUUGUAAACCUCUGUCAGAGGGGACGAAGAAUGUGACGGUACCCUCAGAGGAAGCCACGGCUAACUACGUGCCAGCAGCCGCGGUAAUACGUAGGUGGCGAGCGUUAUUCGGAUUCACUGGGCGUAAAGGGUCCGUAGGGGGUCUGCCAAGUCUGGUGUGAAAGCCCGCGGCUCAACUGCGGAACGGCACUGGAUACUGGCGGGCUACGAGUCUGCGAGGGGUAAGCGGAAUUCCUGGUGUAGCGGUGGAAUGCGUAGAUAUCAGGAAGAACACCGAUGGCGAAGGCGGCUUACUGGCGCAGUACUGACCCUGAGGGACGAAAGCGUGGGUAGCAAACA